rnacentral:sRNA from 1 species
GACUGAACUUUUUACCAAAGACUUGGUGUUCUGUAGAAGUAUGAGCAGAUGAGUGACAAGAUCUGGUUUAUAUGUUAAGAAGUUCUCAGCUGUAAGGUGAAUAGAUUGGAGGUGUUGGGGCAAAGGCAGGGGACCCAGUGAAGACAAGGAGUGAGGCUCUAUACUGAGGCCCUGGUAGAAGUGGAGCAGAUGGGCCACCUAAAGAGCUACUAGGAAGUUGACACCAAUAAGAUGUCGUUAGUCUGUGUAUGGGGAGUGAGGGAAAGGAAGAACUUGCCAGUUUCCAGGUUUUAAUCCUUCCAAAGGAUUUCUGCAGAAAGACACUGGAAGAGCUGUAUUCCUACUUAUCCUUAAAGGAAAGAAACUGCCCUUGAAUUCCAAGGACAUGAUUACUGAGCUGGAAUUCCAAAUAAUGUGUCCCAGUGAGACUCCUGGGGGUAGUUUUGUCCGGUAACUGUGUGUGUUAGAUGAAACUGCAGACUUCCAGCCACUCUUUAUCUUACCAUGUCUGUUAACAGUUAAUUUGCUCUGAUGAAUUUGCCCAUCUUGGAGAAGGGGGCUCUGCUGACUGUUUUUUAUCUUGGAGUAAAUGUCCUUUGAUUAGGAAGGUUCUAGACUAUAUUGUUAAAACAACAUUGGAAGGCUGGGCAUGGUGGCUCAUGCCUGUAAUCCCAACACUUUGGGAGGCCAAGGCAGGCGUAUCGUUUGAGCCCAGGAGUUCAAGACCAGCCUGGGCAACAUGACAAAACUCUCUCUACUGAAAAUACAAAAUUAGCCAGGCAUGGUGGAGUGCGCCUGUAUUCCCAGCCACUUAGGAGGCUGAGGUGGGAGAACCACCUGAGCCCAGGAAGUUGAGGCUGCAUUGAGCCAUGAUCGUACCACUGCACUGCAGCUAGGUGACAGCAAAACCCUGUCUCAAAAAAACACCAAACAACAUAGGAUACUGUUAUAUAACAGCUAGUUCCUAUACCUGUAAUCUUAUUAAUUCAUUUAAAAUACAUCAGUGUGGGCCGGGUGUGGUGGCUCACACUUGUAAUCCCAACACUUUGGAAGGCCAAGGCGGGAGGAUCACUUGAAGCCACGAAUUUAAGACCAGCCUGGGUAAUAUAGCGAGACCCUGUCUCUACAAAAAAAAUAAAUAAAUAAAAAAUAAAAUAUGUCAGUGUGUUUUGGGAACAGGUUGAGAGCAUAGCAUGCUCAUAUUAUAUAUUCAUUUUACCACUUAGAUUUGAAUUGAGGCAUCUCUUAGAAUAGGUUUUAUUUUGUGCAUACCCUCAGAGGACAUUGUCCCUCUCAUAGAAACAGAUAUUCAAACAUGUAAUCUGCUAUUUUAUUUUAAGGUAAUACAUUUUUAUGAUUACUGUUUGGAAAAAAAAAAAAAAAAGCAACUAUAGGUUAGCAGUUGCUCCAGAAUCUCCAAAACAAGCUUAGGAGAUUUUUAUUCUUUACCAGAAAUGAGAUGGCUUGGGAGGAAGGUGUGUGCAUUACACACAGGUUGCUCUGUGGUCACUGCUCCUUCAUACUGUGUUUCUGCCUCUGCCUGAACCCAAACCCCUCCCAGCCUGACAGAAAUGUUCGCUUACGCAGCUAGCCCUGCCUCAGUUUGUACAUCUACCUGUCGGCUGAGACAUCAGAAGUCGAUGUCCAUGUCAGCCUCUGGGCACCCCAAGAUGAUGUUACCUCCAAUAGACAGUGAAGGAGAUAACUUCAAGGCUAUGUAAGAAAAAUGCACAUUCUUUGUGAAACUAAUGUGUACCCACUGCUUCUUAAUUUUGUGCUGUGGAUUUUAUAGUCUGAGAUUUUGUUACCGUUGUCCACAAGGCGUCCUUCCUCCAUGUGAUUUUAGUUAAGCACAUCUUUUGUCAUGAUGUCCUCGGUUGUGUAUUGUGUGUCUUCGUGCCUUCGCGUACUACAAAAUGUAUAAGAAGUUCCUGCUCCUCCCAAGUUGCUUUCAGCAUGCGGAAUUUUAUACAUAUAUCAUUUGUUUACUUCCAAAACUUUUUAGUUGCCUGUUCUUCAGUUACGCCAGCAUAUCCUUUAUUUCUUUCGUAUUGGCACAGUUCUCUAUGUAAGCAAUUUGAGAGGGAAGCAAAGGGGAAAAGUUUGAGUUAGCUGUUCUCUGUCCUAGAUUUUCCCUGCAUUAAUCUUGUCCUUGAAAAUAUAUAUAAUACUGGUCCCUUAAACUCCAUGAGGCUUUGUCUCAUUAUGUAUUGUUCUUUUGGUACCCUUUCCCACUUAACUUACCUUUUGCUCCUAAGUCCUAUAAAAUACCCCUUGGAUCUGGAUUUUUUAUACCCGAUUUUCUCCACUGUGUAUAAAAGGUAUAUUGUGACUGUAAAUUUUUGUAUAUCAUGUUCUGAGAGCUUCUUACUUUCUGAUCUCAUAGCACUAUUCCUGAUCAGAGAACUCCAGUUGCUUCAACACACAGUAUCAGUAGUGCAGCCACCCCAGAUCGAAUCCGCUUCCCAAGAGGCACUGCCAGUCGUAGCACUUUCCACGGCCAGCCCCGGGAACGGCGAACCGCAACAUAUAAUGGCCCUCCUGCCUCUCCCAGCCUGUCCCAUGAAGCCACACCAUUGUCCCAGACUCGAAGCCGAGGCUCCACUAAUCUCUUUAGUAAAUUAACUUCAAAACUCACAAGGAGUCGCAAUGUAUCUGCUGAGCAAAAAGAUGAAAACAAAGAAGCAAAGCCUCGAUCCCUGCGCUUCACCUGGAGCAUGAAAACCACUAGUUCAAUGGAUCCCGGGGACAUGAUGCGGGAAAUCCGCAAAGUGUUGGACGCCAAUAACUGCGACUAUGAGCAGAGGGAGCGCUUCUUGCUCUUCUGCGUCCACGGAGAUGGGCAUGCGGAGAACCUCGUGCAGUGGGAAAUGGAAGUAUGCAAGCUGCCAAGACUGUCUCUGAACGGGGUCCGGUUUAAGCGGAUAUCGGGGACAUCCAUAGCCUUCAAAAAUAUUGCUUCCAAAAUUGCCAAUGAGCUAAAGCUGUAACCCAGUAAUUAUGAUGUAAAUUAAGUAGCAAUUAAAGUGUUUUCCUGAACACUGAUGGAAAUGUAUAGAAUAAUAUUUAGGCAAUAACGUCUGCAUCUUCUAAAUCAUGAAAUUAAAGUCUGAGGACGAGAGCACGCCUGGGAGCGAAAGCUGGCCUUUUUUCUACGAAUGCACUACAUGAAAGAUGUGCAACCUGUGCGCCCCCUGCCCUACUUCCGUUACCCUGAGAGUCGGCGUGUGGCCCCAUCUCCAUGUGCCUCCCGUCUGGGUGGGUGUGAGAGUGGACGGUAUGUGUGUGAAGUGGUGUAUAUGGAAGCAUCUCCCUACACUGGCAGCCAGUCAUUACUAGUACCUCUGCGGGAGAUCAUCCGGUGCUAAAACAUUACAGUUGCCAAGGAGGAAAAUACUGAAUGACUGCUAAGAAUUAACCUUAAGACCAGUUCAUAGUUAAUACAGGUUUACAGUUCAUGCCUGUGGUUUUGUGUUUGUUGUUUUGUGUUUUUUUAGUGCAAAAGGUUUAAAUUUAUAGUUGUGAACAUUGCUUGUGUGUGUUUUUCUAAGUAGAUUCACAAGAUAAUUAAAAAUUCACUUUUUCUCAGU